rnacentral:lncRNA from 1 species
UGUGGAUCAAGGCUGGAGGAUGACAAGCUCCUGACUGAUAGAUACAUGGAGACUUCGCUGGUGAUUUAUUGGCUUUCUGCACCUGACGAGAACCACUAGGCCUAUCUGAGGAGGGAAAUAUAUGGGCUUUCCUGACUCCAAGUGGCAGCCCCGGGGCGAGCAUGUGAUGUCAAGCUGGGCAGAGGAAAGCGGAGCUGUGCACCGGCCUGUGUACUGUAAGCCGGCCCGGGUCGUAAAAGUGUCAGCACGCGAUAUAUUUCUUGCAGGGGAUCCUCUCUGGCUCUUGCCAGCGCCUCUCCCCCGUGGCUGGCAGCCGCCCUAGCCGGGCCUGCAAACAGCGGAUGCCCCAGGUCGCUAUCCCUCCGCCCUGCCCCGGAGCGCCGGGCCCUCACGUUCUCGCUCCAGCCUGGGGUCUCUCACGUGGCAUCUGGCCCUGGGGACGGUGCAGCGGAGGAGUUAAUUGCUGUCACUCCUGACUUCAGCGAAAGAGGUCGAUCGUGGGGUGAGAUAUUGAAGCUGGGGAUUGACCUGUGGACCAAGAGUUUGAUGGGGCAACUCAAUAGCAAACUCAAUGUUCCCAGAGAUGAACCAAGUAAUCAGUUAUUUAUUCAGAAAAUUAAGUGCCAUUCGUGUGCCAGGCACUGCGCCCCCUACCCGCAGGCCUCACCUUGGCCACCGGCCUGAGUUGUUCUCAUUUCUCCUCCCUCUACCUCCAGGCUUCUUCCUCGGGGUUAGCAGGGGCCUGGAGUGGAUGUUUAGUCUACCGGUCAGACUCCAGGUCUUAUAUCUUGAAACUGUAAGUCCCUGAAUUCACAGACAAUUCAGAGUAAGGAUGGAGGCAAAGAAGAGGACCUUGGGUUUACUGUUCACGAGAUGACCUCAUAAAGGUGUUCAGUGAUGAAGAGGAGUGGCUGAAGAGAGCUUCAGCAAGCAACCACUAGGAUAAUGUUAAAGAUCUUCAGUGGUAAGAAGACAAGGAGCAAAGAUUUUUAUCUUACUUUGUGAUUUUCAUAAUUAAAAAAGAAAGAAAGGAAAGGGGUGGAAUAGUGAGUUGUUACAAAGCCAUUCCUGGAUACGAUGGUGAUGUGGCUCUAUCAUCUGCAUCAAAUUUCUUGUUGGUUUUGACCCUGCAUAGUGGGCUGAGCUGUUCUGCCUUCCUCGCUCAUUGCUCUUUGAACAAUCUUCCCAAAUGUGCAUGCUGGACUGAAGGUCCCAGUGAGUGGAAAACCCUUCUUCUAUCAGGAUCAUUCAAGGGUGAAGCAUCUCCUGAGAAGCAGAAGACCCUGUGAAACAGGUUUGUAGAAACCAGUAUUAUGGUUAUAUGUUCUCUCUAAUUAGU